ACUCGCCAACAGAAGUGAGAUUGCUUCCUCGGUACUCACUCGUGUACUGUGCUGACAUGAACUACUCUGGAUGUUGUGAAAGGCUCGCUACAGAUGCACUACAAAAUAUUAAAUCCAAGUAUCCAGUUAUUUCCUUGAUUAUUAUACUAAAAUUAUGAAAACACGACAUUAUUUAAUCAUUUUAUUUAUUCUUCUAGUGAGUUGUAAGUUAUAAGGAGAGAAAACAUAAUUACUUAGAAACAUAUGCAGCAUUUCCAUCUAUUUCUCACCAUAUGAAUCGGCUGAAUCAAAAAACGGGCCAUUCUGAGAUCAAUUUCUGAAAAGAGUCGAAUAAAUCGGUCACCACAGAAUGGAGUCGGCAUGCGAGAGCCUUCUGCAUGUGGCCGUCCUCACCAGGGAAAGGUUGCCCGGCAAGUAACGAACCACUUAGUGCUAGAACAGGACAAGAAGUGUUUCCAGAAGGAAGAUUGAAUGUUUUCAAAUGAAAUUUCCUUUUGUCACUACAUAGUGCUCUCCGUUUGGAGGAAGUUUAACGGCGCUCGACCGAGAAACGGCGAUGUGUAAGUGUCUUAUUUGUAGAGUGACUACUUCAGUUUCUGUCAGAUUCUCUAUCAGCAAUCUGUAUGAUGGGAAAUAUUUUCUCAUAAUGGUAUUAGUAUAUACAAGUUGGAAAACCUACUGCUUAUAUAAUUGCUCUUUUUCUGAGUGAAGACUUCCUAUUUACACUUGAAAUAAGACGGCUUUCAUGAAUCCACAUAUGUCCUGAAACGAACCCAUGUAUGCUGAAUGUGGUGAAACUCUCGCUAAAAAUGACUACUUGUUUUGGAAAUGGAAAAAGCAAGUUCUCCUUAAGCUAUACGGAGGCAAUCUGUAAUUACCUGGAAACAUCUAUUGAAACAGAAGCAAUAUUUCCAGCUAUUUCUCAACACAAGA